rnacentral:rRNA from 1 species
GAUGAACGCUGGCGGCGUGCCUAAUACAUGCAAGUCGAGCGAACAGACGAGGCGCUUGCUCCUCUGACGAUAGCGGCGGACGGGUGAGUAAAACGUGGAUAACCUACCUAUAAAACUGGGAUAAAUUCGGGAAACCGGAGCUAAUACCGGAUAAUAUAUUGAACAGCAUGGUUCCAUCGUAAAGGACGGUUUUGCUGACACUUGUAGAUGGAUCCGCGCCGCCUUAGUUAGUUGGUAAGGUAACGGCUUACCAAGGCAACGAUGCGGAGCCGACAUGAGAGGGUGAACGGCCACACUGGAACUGAGACACGGCCCAGACUCCUACGGGAGGCAGCAGUAGGGAAUCUUCCGCGAUGGGGGAAAGCCUGACGGAGCAACGCGGCGGGAGUGAUGAAGGUCUUCGGAUCGUAAAACUCUGUUAUUAGUGAAGAACAAAUGUGUAAGUAACUAUGCACGUCUUGACGGUACCUAAGCAGAAAGCCACGGCUAACUACGUG